UGAAGGUCCCCCACAUUGGAACUGAGACACGGUCCAAACUCCUACGGGAGGCAGCAGUGAGGAAUAUUGGUCAAUGGACGGAAGUCUGAACCAGCCAAGUAGCGUGCAGGAAGACGGCCCUAUGGGUUGUAAACUGCUUUUAUGCGGGGGUAAAGUGCGCGACGUGUCGCGCAUUGCAAGUACCGCAGGAAAAAGGAUCGGCUAAUUCCGUGCCAGCAGCCGCGGUAAUACGGAAGGUCCGAGCGUUAUCCGGAUUUAUUGGGUUUAAAGGGAGCGUAGGCGGAACGCCAAGUCAGUUGUGAAAGUCCGCGGCUCAACCGCGGAAUUGCAGUUGAAACUGGCAUUCUUGAGUGUAGAUAAGGACGGUGGAAUUUGUGGUGUAGCGGUGAAAUGCUUAGAUAUCACGAAGAACUCCGAUUG
rnacentral:rRNA from 1 species